AGCGAACGCUGGCGGCAGGCCUAACACAUGCAAGUCGAACGAACCUUUCGGGGUUAGUGGCGGACGGGUGAGUAACACGUGGGAACGUGCCUUUAGGUUCGGAAUAACUCAGGGAAACUUGUGCUAAUACCGAAUGUGCCCUUCGGGGGAAAGAUUUAUCGCCUUUAGAGCGGCCCGCGUCUGAUUAGCUAGUUGGUUGAGGUAAUGGCUCACCAAGGCGACGAUCAGUAGCUGGUCUGAGAGGAUGAUCAGCCACAUUGGGACUGAGACACGGCCCAAACUCCUACGGGAGGCAGCAGUGGGGAAUCUUGCGCAAUGGGCGAAAGCCUGACGCAGCCAUGCCGCGGGAAUGAUGAAGGUCUUAGGAUUGUAAAAUUCUUUCACCGGGGACGAUAAGGACGGUACCCGGAGAAGAAGCCCCGGCGAACUUCGG
rnacentral:rRNA from 1 species